CGGCGGACGGGUGAGUAACACGUGGAUAACCUACCUAUAAGACUGGGAUAACUUCGGGAAACCGGAGCUAAUACCGGAUAAUAUAUUGAACCGCAUGGUUCAAUAGUGAAAGACGGUUUUGCUGUCACUUAUAGAUGGAUCCGCGCCGCAUUAGCUAGUUGGUAAGGUAACGGCUUACCAAGGCAACGAUGCGUAGCCGACCUGAGAGGGUGAUCGGCCACACCGGAACUGAGACACGGUCCAGACUCCUACGGGAGGCAGCAGCA
rnacentral:rRNA from 1 species